rnacentral:rRNA from 1 species
GGGUUGUGAGGUUAAGCGACUAAGCGUACACGGUGGAUGCCCUGGCAGUCAGAGGCGAUGAAGGACGUGCUAAUCUGCGAAAAGCGUCGGUAAGGUGAUAUGAACCGUUAUAACCGGCGAUGUCCGAAUGGGGAAACCCAGUGCAAUUCGUUGCACUAUCGUUAACUGAAUACAUAGGUUAACGAGGCGAACCGGGGGAACUGAAACAUCUAAGUACCCCGAGGAAAAGAAAUCAACCGAGAUUCCCCCAGUAGCGGCGAGCGAACGGGGAGCAGCCCAGAGUCUGAAUCAGCUUGUGUGUUAGUGGAACGGUCUGGAAAGUCCGACGGUACAGGGUGAUAGUCCCGUACACCAAAAUGCACAGGUUGUGAACUCGAAGAGUAGGGCGGGACACGUGGUAUCCUGUCUGAAUAUGGGGGGACCAUCCUCCAAGGCUAAAUACUCCUGACUGACCGAUAGUGAACCAGUACCGUGAGGGAAAGGCGAAAAGAACCCCGGCGAGGGGAGUGAAAAAGAACCUGAAACCGUGUACGUACAAGCAGUGGGAGCACCUUCGGGUGUGACUGCGUACCUUUUGUAUAAUGGGUCAGCGACUUAUAUUCUGUAGCAAGGUUAACCGUAUAGGGGAGCCGCAGGGAAACCGAGUCUUAACUGGGCGUUAAGUUGCAGGGUAUAGACCCGAAACCCGGUGAUCUAGCCAUGGGCAGGUUGAAGGUUGGGUAACACUAACUGGAGGACCGAACCGACUAAUGUUGAAAAAUUAGCGGAUGACUUGUGGCUGGGGGUGAAAGGCCAAUCAAACCGGGAGAUAGCUGGUUCUCCCCGAAAGCUAUUUAGGUAGCGCCUCGUGAACUCAUCUUCGGGGGUAGAGCACUGUUUCGGCUAGGGGGUCAUCCCGACUUACCAACCCGAUGCAAACUACGAAUACCGAAGAAUGUUAUCACGGGAGACACACGGCGGGUGCUAACGUCCGUCGUGAAGAGGGAAACAACCCAGACCGCCAGCUAAGGUCCCAAAGUCAUGGUUAAGUGGGAAACGAUGUGGGAAGGCACAGACAGCCAGGAUGUUGGCUUAGAAGCAGCCAUCAUUUAAAGAAAGCGUAAUAGCUCACUGGUCGAGUCGGCCUGCGCGGAAGAUGUAACGGGGCUAAACCAUGCACCGAAGCUGCGGCAGCGACACUAUGUGUUGUUGGGUAGGGGAGCGUUCUGUAAGCCUGCGAAGGUGACCUGUGAGGGUUGCUGGAGGUAUCAGAAGUGCGAAUGCUGACAUAAGUAACGAUAAAGCGGGUGAAAAGCCCGCUCGCCGGAAGACCAAGGGUUCCUGUCCAACGUUAAUCGGGGCAGGGUGAGUCGACCCCUAAGGCGAGGCCGAAAGGCGUAGUCGAUGGGAAACAGGUUAAUAUUCCUGUACUUGGUGUUACUGCGAAGGGGG